rnacentral:rRNA from 1 species
AACGAACGCUGGCGGCAUGCCUAACACAUGCAAGUCGAACGAGAUCUUCGGGUCUAGUGGCGCACGGGUGCGUAACGCGUGGGAAUCUGCCCUUUGGUUCGGAAUAACAGUUGGAAACGACUGCUAAUACCGGAUGAUGACGAAAGUCCAAAGAUUUAUCGCCAGAGGAUGAGCCCGCGUAGGAUUAGCUAGUUGGUGGGGUAAAGGCGCACCAAGGCGACGAUCCUUAGCUGGUCUGAGAGGAUGAUAAGCCACACUGGGACUGAGACACGGCCCAGACUCCUACGGGAGGCAGCAGUGGGGAAUAUUGGACAAUGGGCGAAAGCCUGAUCCAGCAAUGCCGCGUGAGUGAUGAAGGCCUUAGGGUUGUAAAGAUCUUUUACCCGGGAUGAUAAUGACAGUACCGGGAGAAUAAGCUCCGGCUAACUCCGUGCCAGCCGCCGCCGUAA